AUUGAACGCUGGCGGCAGGCCUAACACAUGCAAGUCGAGCGGAUGAAGGGAGCUUGCUCCUGGAUUCAGCGGCGGACGGGUGAGUAAUGCCUAGGAAUCUGCCUGGUAGUGGGGGAUAACGUCCGGAAACGGGCGCUAAUACCGCAUACGUCCUGAGGGAGAAAGUGGGGGAUCUUCGGACCUCACGCUAUCAGACGAGCCUAGGUCGGAUUAGCUAGUUGGUGGGGUAAAGGCCUACCAAGGCGACGAUCCGUAACUGGUCUGAGAGGAUGAUCAGUCACACUGGAACUGAGACACGGUCCAGACUCCUACGGGAGGCAGCAGUGGGGAAUAUUGGACAAUGGGCGAAAGCCUGAUCCAGCCAUGCCGCGUGUGAAGAAGGUCUUCGGAUUGUAAAGCACUUUAAGUUGGGAGGAAGGGCAGUAAGUUAAUACCUUGCUGUUUUGACGUUACCAACAGAAUAAGCACCGGCUAACUUCGUG
rnacentral:rRNA from 1 species